GACGAACGCUGGCGGCGUGCUUAACACAUGCAAGUCGAACGGAAAGGUUCUGCUUUUGUGGCUUGCUCAAGUGGCGAACGGGUGGGUAACAAGUGAGUAACCUGCCCUCGACUUUGGGAUAACUUCAGGAAACUGGGGCUAAUACCGGAUAGGAGCUCCUGCUGCAUGGUUGGGGUUGGAAAGUUUCGGCGGUUUGGGAUGGACUGGCGGGUUAUUAGCUUUUUGGUGGGGUAGUGGCGUACCAAGGCUUCGACGGGUAGCCGGCCUGAGAGGGUGACCGGGGACAUUGGGACUGAGAUACGGCCCAGACUCCUACGGGCGGCAGCAGUGGGGAGUAUUGCACAAUGGGGGGAAGUGUGAUGCAGCGGCGCCGCGUGCGGGAUGACGGGUUUCGAGGUGUAAACCGCUAUGGCCUGUGACGAAGCGUGAGUGACGGUAAUGGGUAAAGAAGCAACGGCUAACUACGUG
rnacentral:rRNA from 1 species